UCCCUUAUGGUCCAGUUGCCAAGAUGCUGUGUUCCCAAUGCAGGAGGCCAGGGUUCGAUCCCUGGUAAGGGAA
rfam:TPA: Bos taurus chromosome 3, whole genome shotgun sequence.